rnacentral:rRNA from 1 species
CAACUCUAGACGGGGGAUCACUCGGCCGGGGGGCCAAA